UACGGAGGGUGCUAGCGUUGUUCGGAAUUACUGGGCGUAAAGCGCACGUAGGCGGCUUUUUAAGUUAGCGGUGAAAGCCUGGAGCUCAACUCCAGAAAUGCCUUUAAGACUGCAUCGCUUGAAUCCAGGAGAGGUGGGUGGAAUUCCGAGUGUAGAGGUGAAAUUCGUAGAUAUUCGGAAGAACACCAGUGGCGAAGGCGGCUCACUGGACUGGUAUUGACGCUGAGGUGCGAAAGCGUGGGGAGCAAACAGG
rnacentral:rRNA from 1 species